GACGAACGCUGGCGGCGUACUUAACACAUGCAAGUCGAGCGGUAAGGCCCUUUCGGGGGUACACGAGCGGCGAACGGGUGAGUAACACGUGGGUGACCUGCCCUCAGCUCUGGGAUAAGCCUGGGAAACCGGGUCUAAUACUGGAUAUGACUCCAUGACGCAUGUUGUGGGGUGGAAAGCCUUGUGCGGCUGAGGAUGGGCCCGCGGCCUAUCAGCUUGUUGGUGGGGUGAUGGCCUACCAAGGCGACGACGGGUAGCCGGCCUGAGAGGGCGACCGGCCACACUGGGACUGAGACACGGCCCAGACUCCUACGGGAGGCAGCAGUGGGGAAUCUUGCGCAAUGGGCGAAAGCCUGACGC
rnacentral:rRNA from 1 species